ACAAACGACUUCAUUUACCAAGAUGGCUGGCGCAUAUGAGAAAAAUCCUGGAGACCACAGACGCAAGUGGGAUAAGGAUGAAUAUGAACGUCUUGCACAGGAAAGAUUGGAAGAAGAGGAGAGAAAACAGCUUGAGAAAGAGCUCAGAGAACCUCACCAAAAAAGGGAGCUCCUAAAACCAAGAGAAUAUAAGUUGAUUUGGAUUCAAAACUUGGAAAGUCACAAGUCAUCACAAAAACAACCCCAGCUUCACAACAGGGAGGAUACUACUGCAAUGUCUGUGAUUGUGUCGUAAAAGACUCCAUUAACUUCUUAGAUCACAUCAAUGGCAAAAAACGUAAGUUUAUUUGGAAUUACUGUAUUUGGUCAGUAUUUAACACACAUAUUUAUCAUUAUAUUAAUAUUCUAACAUACUUUCAUUGUUUUGAAAGAUCAAAGAAAUUUGGGAAUGUCCAUGAAAAUCGAAAGAUCAUCUUUAGAUCAAGUUAAGAAGAGAUUUGAAAUCAACAAAAAGAAAAUGGAAGAGAAAAAGAAGGAGUAUGAUUUCGAAGAACGAUUAAAAGAGCUGAAAGAAGAGGAAGAAAAACAAAAGGCCUACAAAAAAGAAAAAAGGAAAGAAAGGAAACGCAAAGCUGAACCCGAUGAUUCCGAGGGUCCUUCAGAUAUGGCAGCUGUCAUGGGAUUUUCAGGAUUUGGGGGGUCUAAAAAGUGACGUUGUUCAAUGAAAGACUCCAAUAAAUAAAUUCAUUGAC
rnacentral:misc_RNA from 1 species